rfam:Nasonia vitripennis chromosome 5 unlocalized genomic scaffold Chr5_random003, whole genome shotgun sequence.
CAAUCGGCCCUUUUCAGGGCCACCAAUAUUUUUCUAACGUAAAAC